rnacentral:rRNA from 1 species
GAUGAACGCUGGCGGCGUGCUUAACACAUGCAAGUCGAACGGAAAGGCUCCUGCUUGCAGGGGUACUCGAGUGGCGAACGGGUGAGUAACACGUGGGUGAUCUGCCCUGCACUUCGGGAUAGGCCUGGGAAACUGGGUCUAAUACCGGAUAGGACGAUGGUUUGGAUGCCAUUGUGGAAAGUUUUUCGGUGUGGGAUGAGCUCGCGGCCUAUCAGCUUGUUGGUGGGGUAAUGGCCUACCAAGGCGUCGACGGGUAGCCGGCCUGAGAGGGUGUACGGCCACAUUGGGACUGAGAUACGGCCCAGACUCCUACGGGAGGCAGCAGUGGGGAGUAUUGCACAAUGGGCGCAAGCCUGAUGCAGCGACGCCGCGUGGGGGAUGACGGCCUUCGGGUUGUAAACUCCUUUCGCUAGGGACGAAGCGCAAGUGACGGUACCUGGAGAAGAAGCACCGGCUAACUACGUG